GGUUGUGACGCCAGUCGCAUCGCCGGGUAGCUAUGUUCGGAAGGGAUAACCGCUGAAAGCAUCUAAGCGGGAAGCCUACCUCAAGAUAAGAUUUCCCUAGGACUUUAUGUCCUCUAAAGAGCCGUUCGAGACUAGGACGUUGAUAGGUUGGAUGUGGAAGCAUAGUGAUAUGUGAAGCUGACCAAUACUAAUUGCUCGUGAGGCUUGACUAUACAACACCCAAGCAGUUG
rnacentral:rRNA from 1 species